GGAAUAUUUUCUAUAAAUUGAUCAAAUAAUUUUUAUUUAUUACAUAGAGAAGAGAUAAAACAUGGCUUUAAUUCACAAGUUCAGUUAUGCUUUAGUUAUUUUUAUUUACUUAUUUUUUAUUGAAAUCAACGGCAUUCAAUUUCAAUCAGCUCAAUUUCCCUGCAAUGAUGUGAGUGAUUGUCCAAGAGAUUUGUGUAUCCGCAAUAGUCUAACUAUAAAGUGUGUUAAUUAUACUUGUGAGUGUGUGUGAAGUUAACAAUUAGGUUGAAAAAUAAGUCUAUAUUACUUCUAAGCAUAUACUUUUAUUUGUAUGCUAUGUUAAAAAAAAUAUAUAUUUACUUAUAAACUAUAUAUUUUAAUUUGUA